AUGUCUAGAGUUAUAUCUUUUGAU
rnacentral:siRNA from 1 species